ensembl:lncRNA
UAUAGCUUCUAAUUUAAUCCUGCAACUAUCAUAUGAAGUUGCUAUCUUUGUUUUGCAGGUAAGAAAAAGAGAGGCAGAUACUCAGAAACCACAUUGAAGGCAACUACCAUUUGUCACUUUAGGAAGAUCUGGAGGCUAUAGAGUGACCAAUCAUUAUGAUGUGCUGGAAAUGGAAGAGUUCCCUGGAUGCAGAGCCUACAAAAAAUUCUUGGGAUAAGCUGGGCCCCCCCAAUAGACCUAAACACAACAUCCAUGCUUGCGAACAUGGCGGAGUUCGAAUUCAUCCCUUACCUGAAUCCAGACUUAGAGGAAGGGGCAAUCAAGAAGGCAGAUUUCAAUGACAAAAGAGUGAUGAAAAGGAGAGCAUCUUCCCCAGGCACCAUGCACCGUG